rnacentral:sRNA from 1 species
AUACAAUCUCAAAGCCUAUCUUAAAGCAACCCUUGGUUCACCACCAACUCAAUCAAGAUGACUCCCUGCUCCUGCAACUCCUGCGCCUGCUCCAGCGACUGCAACGGCUGCUCCUGCUCCUCUUGCGGUGUAUGUAUCUCCCAGAUAC